CUAGAGGAUAGCUAUUAUCAGCCCUGUCUGAGGGAUUGGUAUUAGUGAAAUUGAAUAUCAGACUAAGCUUGUAGAAGCUUAUGGCGCUUUUAGUUUUGGACACGGGUUCGAUUCCCGUCUUCUCCACCA
rnacentral:tmRNA from 1 species